GAUUAACGCUGGCGGCGUGCCUAACACAUGCAAGUCGAACGAAGUGGCGGACGGGUGAGUAACGCGUGAGUAACCUGCCUUAGAGAAGGGGAUAGCCUUUGGAAACGAAGAAUAAUACCCUAUGCUCUAAGAUGGACUUGCGUCGGAUUAGCUAGUUGGUGAGAUAAUAGCUCACCAAGGCAACGAUCAGUAGCCGGCUUGGGAGAGUGUACGACCACAUUAGGACUGGGACACGGCCCAGACUCUGAGGGAGGCAGCAGUGGGGAAUUUUGCACAAUGGGGGAAACCCGGAUGCAGCGACGCCGCGUGAUUUAGAAGGCCUUCUGGUUGUGAAAAUCUUUUCUAUGGGAAGCAGUACCAUAGGAAUAAGGACCGGCUAAUUACGUGCCAGCAGCCGCGGUAAUUC
rnacentral:rRNA from 1 species